rnacentral:lncRNA from 1 species
ACUCCGCGGCCCGCCAGGACCCGGCCCCGGUGAACGGGCUCGGGGUGCCGAGGUCCGGCUGCGGGGCCGGGAAGCCACCUCCACCUUGCCGUCUGUUACGACCCCCGAGGCGCAAGGCUGAGCCCCAUCUCGCUAUCCGGGUCCGGAGGGGUUCACCUUAGAAGGAUUUUUUGAAGCUCUUGGCGCUGGCUCUAAAAGAACCCACUUCCUUGCGGAUUUCAGGAGUCAAGAAUCCUUAAACGGAGCCAAUUUGCUUUGUAAAGCCAAUUGCCCAAGUGACUUGAGUUCGAAAGGAGAUACUUCCUGGACAACUGCUAUAAAAACAACAACAAAUACUUUUAUUAAUUCGGGGAGCCUGGUCACCAACUGGAUGCUCAGGGGAGAUGGAACCCUGAGCAGCCCAUGUACAUGGAAGAUCUUUAUUGCAGAGAUCUUCAAACCAGAUGGCUCGCAGAGAUUGAGGAACUUGCCCAAGGCUACGCAGCUUGCUGUCUCUACCAGGCCAGAAUUUGGGGCAGGCAAGAUUUUCAGCAUCCCUAAAAUCACACUAAGAAGAUAAACAUGGAAACAGCUUGGAGCUGCCCUACCCAUAGUGAGGUGGUACUGACUGGAAGACAGCUUAAACGAUUUGGAGAAAAGUGGAAUACAUUAAUCUCAGAAAACUCUACCACCUGUAGAAAGAGAGCUAAAAUGGAGACAACCACAGGCAGUCUAAGAUACGCUGAACUACUACAGAAAAUAAUGCAGCAUGAAGGAAUGCUGGAAGGUAUGGGGUCAGAGCAAGCUGAUGGAGGGUCCUUCAUUUCCAAGCCACGAGUACAGCAGGAUGUAAGGCUUAGUUCAUAAGAACAUCUCCUGAAAGACAAUCUCUAUAAAAACUGUUUCAAUAGAAAGAAUGCAAGAUGUAACUGUUUAAUAAUAGGACUGAUAUUUUAAAAAACAAAUGAACGUAAUAGAAGACUAGAUGGAUGUGCUUCUCAAAGUCCUCUCUGUGGGAGGCUUCAUCCUCACUCUAGAUGUGUUGCCUGUAGCAGCUGUUAUUGAUUACCCGCCCAUAGCCUAUCCAUACUUACUCAUCAUUCCUUUACCUACCAGUGGCAUCCUAUUGGAAGCACCUGCGACUUUCUUAGGGCUUUCUCUUGGCCAAGCAUUGGAAGGCCAGCAGUAUUGAAAAGUUAAUAGUCUUGGAAGCACUGGCCCUCAACUAAUGACAAAGAAAAAAUAUAAGAUAAAUUCCCCAGCUUCCUUGCCUCCUGAAUGGGUCAAGUCUGUGGUGUGUUCUACCCGUUUUUCAGAGGUCCCAUGUUUUAAACCCUAGCUGCUCAAGGCAAUUUCCUGAUCAUUGAUGUACUCUCUAUUGGCUAAUUUUUAGAUAAUAUGGAAUAUGCUCAAAAUAGGAUACUCAAAGAAAAAAUCAGAUGCCAAAAUUAUGUACACCGAAUGAGUUCAAUUCUGUAUAAGUGUGGACAUACACACAUCAAAAGAAAUAUGGAACAAAAGAUACUAAAUGUUUAUAGUGGUUAUUUCUGGGUGUUGAAAUUUUAAGUGAUUUUCCUUUUCUUCUUUGUAAUUGUCUCUAUUUUUCAGUUUUUUCAAUAUACCCUGUAUUUCUUUUAAAAUCAGAACAAACCACCAUAAGUUAUUUUAAAAGGCUUAUAAAGCUGAUGAAUAUUUUGUCUUUGUUUCCUUUGUGUUGCCAUAGUCUGAGGGAGUAGUUCUCAAGUGUAGUCUCUGGACCAGCAGCAUCAACAUUACCUGGGAACUUGUUAGAAAUGCAAAUUCUCAGAGGAUGCCUAGGACCUUCUGAAUAAGAAACCCUCGGGGUUGGGGGUGAAGGGGACAGCAAUCGGCAUUUUAAGAAGCUCUCCAGGUGAUUUUUAUGCACAUUGAAGUUUGUGAACCACUGGUCUAAAGAUAACUUUUAUUACACCUACCUGUUAGUCCCCACUAAAGCUCCCUGGGUGGGGUCCAAAAAUUUCAGUCAUGUAAAAUGCAGGAUUGCAUUUUUGUGGGGUUGGCAAACUGAUUGGGAUGAGCCUGCUGAGUAAGAUGAAAGCUCAUUACAGUUGUCUUAUGUCUGAAUUCAUUGUAGGGCAAAUUAUGUUGGGGUUUCAUCAUAAAUAUAUUGGUCUGCAGAGUUUAUAUAUUCUGUAUUGAAAUCUAUGGUGCAUUUAAUAGGCAGAAGGCUAGACUAAUUUAAAUCUAAUCUGAUGAUCACGGAGACUGCUUGACACCUGUGAUGUUUCACAGGCUUGGAGAAAGUUUUGUUUUCUUUAUACCUUUAUUUUCUACUUGCCUGGUGGCUUCAUUUCCUUAGUUUGAUUUUUCUUCCAUAAUUCUUCUCUCUUUCCCCCAAUUAUGCAAAGAUAGUGGAUUUCAAUAUUUUGUGGAAAAAACUACCAUCCCUUGGAUUUGAGAGGCCCCUCCUCAGUUUCCCCCAUGGAGCUUUUGUUUUCCAGUGUGUUACAUUAGUUGUUUGUGAAUCUGUCUUCUCCCCCACCAAAUGGAGGCCCUAAAUGCCAUGUGAGCAGGGACAGUGACUUAUACCUCCUUGCAUGCUUGGUUCUUAGCACAGGGCCUGGCAGAGACAGCAAGAACUCAAAACAUAUUGGUGAAUGAGUGAAUGAUGAUGCUGUAAUUCAAGACACACAUUCAUUUAUUUAGCAUUAAAAUGUUUUACAUAGCAAAUAUUAAUACAAGAAAUGCAUGCCAGGAACUUAACCUACAUUCAUUUUAAUAUGUGAAGAAUAGGAAUAUGUGUACUUAAAAUACAAUGUGCUGUGCCGUUUAUCAUUUUGUUCAUCUUCACCUCAUCAAUUUUUCAGAAACUUCCAGCAGAUGGCACAAUAAAUACUGUCAUGGGACUGCAUUAGAAAUUGGUUAAUAUUUUUCAAGAUGAGCUUAAAAAUUAAAAUGAAUAAAAGUUUCUUAGUUCAAUUAAUUAUAAUAACUGGCAUUUAUUUGCCAUUUUCCCAUUAACAAAGUGCUUUUAAAUCUUUGUCUUGAUUCUGCUCAAAUUCUGUCAACAUAUUGAGAACGUUUGAUUAUGUACUUUAGACUUUUGUUGAUAUGUCAUUCAAUCACGGUUGCUGAAUAAUUUAUAAUCAUUAAUGACAAUGCUAUUAUUUCAUAUUUGUAACAUACCAAUCUUUUAAAGACAAAUUUUUUAUGUAAUUCAGUCACAGUUGCUGAAUAAUUUAUAAUCAUUAAUGACAAUGCUAUUAUUUCAUAUUUAUAACACACCAAUCAUUUAAAGACCAAUUUUUUCUAUGAAAAAUUUGGGAAAGAUCCUGCACGUGAGAACUGAACAGUAACUCAGACCACUAAUAAUGUAGUGAACUGCUUCUCUAGCUCAUUAAACAGUAAUGAUUCCUCUCAUUUGUGUGGCAUAUUGUGGAUGCAAAGCACUUACACAGACACAACAUCCUUUGAUCCUUGCAGUAGCCCUAUGAUGUGGGCCAAACAAGUAUUAUUUUGUGGAUAAAGAGAAAGUGGUUUUUCUUCUGUCUUUCUUUUCCAUUCUUCAUCCUUCCCUGCUGGGCCCCAUUACUGCCCUUCCCAGCUUGGUUGACUCAGGCUUAAUAUCUCAUAAAUUUUAGCGAAACUCCAGUGACACAUGAAUGGCAAUUAAUAUUAGUUUCGCUUAGCAAAUUACAAGGAAAUGCUUAGAAAGGUUAAAACUCAUUUCUAAGGGCACAGAGUUAUCUGAUAAUUGGAGAUAGGAAUGUUUCUUUCUCCUCCCCUCCGGGCUAAAUGGAGUCCUGAGCCUGAAAAAGCUGGUGUCCCAUUCUUUGCCCAUGCUCUGCCCAUUCUCUGGGGACUAAAAAUCCACUCACAUGAGGGAGUUAGAGACUUCGUAUGGCAAUUACCCUUAAGGCAAUUGAUAUAUGUUUUAAAAGAGAACUCUGGGACAGCAACAUCUAAUAUAAAGUAAUGAAUUGGUAAUGGAGCACCCUCAGAAGUCUUGAAUAAUACAUGGUGUAUUUCUAGAU